CGAGAAUUGAGGAUAUGUUUGUUUCUUCACCACGCUUCAGUGCUUUUUGGAAAAAGUGGAAAACAGCGGGGCGGCUGGAAGACAAACAUUUUAUGACGGCAUAGCGUACACAACGCAUCAUGAAGUAUGGAUGCGAUUCUGGCACCAACUGUUCCGUUCCUGCUUUCACCAGAAGCUUUGCGUCUUUAAGCUUCCUUUCAUUAGAAUUUGGAUCCAAGUUUGUGGGGAAGACUGUGAAUUCAAUGGAAAGUGUCCUUUUUUUUUUUUUUUUUAAUUUAAGAACUACUUCACCUUAAAUCCCACUUCUCUAAUAAAAUAACUUUUACUGUAUGUUUCCUUCCAAUCUUCAUUGAUAACAGCUUAAAUGUGAUUGCAUAUGUAUUGGGAUUUUAACAUUAUUUUACACAUUAUUUCCAACUUGCCUGCCUUCGAGGAGUUAAAAAUCAAUACAACACAAAAUGAGAUAAUGUUAUGUGGCUGAAUUCUCCCUUAGUUUGUGAAACAUUUUCAUGUAAUUAUCUCAUUUGAGCUCACCCUAUUUGCAGUGGCCAUUUGUCAUCCUUUUGGCAGAGUUUCUCCCUUACCCUGCCCCCCAACACCCUUACAGGAACUGAAAGUGACAGAUACUGGCUUUCCUAGUCUUCCUUAUUACUGGG
rnacentral:lncRNA from 10 species